UCCUGCAAUAAAAUGUGAAGAGAAAAAUGUUUUAAAAAGUUGUACGAUGGUAAAAUUACUCUGCAGGAGAUCUUCAGAAAAUAGAUUCAUCUAUGAUGUAUAAUUUGGACUGCAUCAAAAGCUUGAACUCAUCGAGUCACAGUUAUUAAUGGGACGCAGAACCAAGAUAAAGAGUUGAGUCCAUUAACUAGCUAGCCAAACCAUUCUACAUUUGAGGCUUGGUGUUCGGAAGACCUGAGUAUAUCAUUCCCGAUACAAGUCCAUAGAAGAAAAAGCAGUAAAGCACACCAGCAAUGGUCUCCUCAAAGCACCGAUGUUUGUCGUGGUGUGAUGUAAAAAUAUGGACGUUGUGUCCUUGCGAAGCAAGUUCAACGGCAGCAUCUACAAUCAAUCUCUCAGCUCCACCUGUAAACACUAUACUCAGUUACAAACUUCUAUGGCAAUGAACUCGGAAGGUUAGAAAAUAUAUUCAUGGAUACAAAAUUAGAACAAGAAGAAACUUUGUCGUC